AGAGGGUCUUACAGGACUCCUGCUGCAGAGGCUUGGGUUUGGGCAAAGGCCUCGCAGAUGCUGAGGAGUGCCAGAGGCCCCAGGCUAGAGGACAGGGGAGCCAGACUCGGGUCUCAUCCUUCCAGCCCAGACUGACUAAGCCAGGAUCCAUUGCAGCAGAAAUUCUCCACAUCAGGCAGGAACACAUCAGGGUCUGGAGCGGGGCCCUGGUACCCUGGUCCUCCCUCUCCCACCAAUGCCCAGCCUUCUCUGUCUGGACGACGGAUUCUCAGAGGUGCCUUCUGGUCUUGCUUUCAAACAUUCCUUCCCAGCCAUCUCUUCCUCCCCCUUCCCCGGGGCUCCAGCACCUGCAGCAGGUCUGUAGCCAUCUGUAUACUCAACAGCUGAGCUCAUAAUCCUGGUUCCAGCCCUUUCCAGCCAUGUGACCUGAAGCCACAGAGCCACCGAGCCUCAGUUUCCUUAUCUGAUAACAUCUGAUGAGGAUUAAUAAGCUAAUGCAAAAGGAGCACUCCACACAGGGCUUGCAAGGCGUGCGUGCUGAACAACAGGUCAUCAUCAUUGCUGCUAUCCUGUUAAAGAUCAUCAGACGAGGAACUGUGCCAACAAAAAAGAAAAUGAAUCUGAGGAGCCCAGACAAAGCUGCCGGGAUGCAAUGCUGACACGCAGCUAGGGAGGAAGCUACUGCCUGGACCUCUGUGGGAACUGCAUUUUUCAGAAGCCAACAGGGAAGUCCUCAGAGGCCUCCAGGGGACCAGGGACCCUGCCAUGAUGCUGUUUUUUUGGAGCCAGGUGGCAGGUAAAUCCAUCAUCGGCCUGAAUCCCCAGCUGGAGAACUGUCACCAGCCAGUGACAUGAGAGUGCCCACCUGCUCCUAAGAGCUCUUCUUAAGCAGGUCAUCCCUGAGCACACAGACCUGGCCGCGCACGUUUCUGAACUCCCAUCCCAGAUCCCUGCCACUUGCCAUACACACACA